UACAAAGUGAGUUCCAGGACAGCCAGAGGUAUACAGAGAAAGCCUGUCUCAAAAAAACAAAAAACAAAAAAAAAAAAACAAAAGAAACUGUUUGCUGUGUUUGGGUACACAGGUGCCACUGUCUGUAUGUGGAGGUCAGAGGAGAACUUGAUGGAGUCACUUCUACCUUUAUGUUGAUCCCAGGAUUCAAACUCAGGUCAUGAAGAUUGUAUGACAGGUGCUUUUGUUUCACUCGUCUUUAUAAGAAUUCCUUACUUCUUGACACGGUUAAGAUGCUUCAGACCCACCUUCUAUUUCCCUGCCCAACCUGGAGCCACCAUUUCUCCAAGGAACCCUGGCUCCUUUAGUGGAGACUAACAACAUCUAGGAAGCAGCAUCCGAUCAGUGGGUGAGCUUGUCAAUUCUGGUCUUGUCCAGCCAGAGCUGGGACACCUGGAUACUAACUAAUGUGUGUACUACUGUGUCUAUUCUGUAGUGUCUAGCCAUAUCUAGACAUUUGAGCGACUGAGUUCCUACUGUUAUCUCUGACUCUCACACCCCAGGUUCCCUUGCUUCCUGUUGUUAUAAAUUCUCGGUGCAGAAGGUUGCCUCGGACCCACAUUACUCACUUAGAUGAUUCAGCAUGUAGUGUGGACCCGAGCUUUCAGAGCUGCUUUCUAGUUUCCGUAAGCAACAUCUGCUAACCAGACUACAGUGUGUCCUAAGUUUUGACUUUUAGUGUAUUAAGAUGUAGUAAAAAUAUUCAUUUCCAGAGUUGUCAGGGACUGAGUGUAGUGUCACACACUUUAAUCCCAACACUCAAGAGGCAGAGGCAGGAGGAUCUCUGAGUUUGAUGACAGCUUGGUAACAUAGCAAGUACCAGGACUACGUAGACUCUGUCUUUAAAAAAAAAGUUAGCCCAGCGUGGUGGCGCGCGCGCGCUUUAAUCCCAGCACUCGGGAGGCAGAGGCAGGCGGAUUUCUGAGUUCGAG
rnacentral:lncRNA from 1 species